rnacentral:rRNA from 1 species
CGUGUCGUGAGAUGUCGGGUUAAGUCCCUUAACGAGCGAAACCCUUAUCUCUAGUUGCCAGCGAGUAAUGUCGGGGACUCUAGAGAGACCGCCGGUGUUAAACCGGAGGAAGGUGGGGAUGACGUCAAGUCCUCAUGGCCCUUACGCGCUGGGCUACACACGUGCUACAAUGGCGGUGACAGUGAGCAGCUAACCCGCGAGGGCAUGCUAAUCUCCAAAAGCCGUCUCAGUUCGGAUUGCUCUCUGCAACUCGGGAGCAUGAAGGCGGAAUCGCUAGUAAUCGCGGAUCAGCAUGCCGCGGUGAAUACGUUCCCAGGCCUUGUACACACCGCCCGUCACACCAUGGGAGUUGGUUUCACCCGAAGGCAGUGCUCUAACCCGCAAGGGAGGAAGCUGACCACGGUGGGAUCAGCGACUGGGGUGAAGUCGUAACAAGGUAGCCGUAGGGGAACCUGCGGCUGGAUCACC